GAAUGCCCUGUCCACACUAUGGCUGACACCUACCCAGUCCAAAAAAUUUUAUCACAGAGGGUAUCAAAAGAGGGCACAAAAGAGGUCAAAGUCCGUUGGCAGCAGUGUUCUGGGUGUGGCAUCAAGUGGAAAGACACAUGGGAGCCUUUCAACGAGAUAUUCCCGUAGUAAUGAUUUGAAAUAAUACUCUAAAUUAUUCAUUUUGGAAUUUUGAUGUUUAGCAUAACUAUUUCUAGGUGAUGUGUUAUUUAUUCAUCAUUACCCUUGUCAUUCAUAAGGUUAUUAUUGUUCAAUAAAGAUAUUGUGCAACAUCUUA